AUUAGCCGUAAGAAGAAGAACACCUCCAGACCAAGGAAAAGGCUAAGCUAGCUUGUGACCAUGGGGAUGAACAACACAAAGGCUUUAUGCUUUGUACUUCUGAUUGCUUUGUCUACCUUGCAGUACUGGCCUUGUCAUGCAUCCGAGGGCCAUAUAGGUGUUGAACAAGGUGAGCUUAGACAUAUGUGUAAUUACAUGCUUGGCGGUAACACUACGACCGAGAGGUGCAGAGAGCUUUGCCAUGCAAUUGGCAGUAUCUACAAUCCCGACUUAAGUUACAUCCAAUUCUGUGACAAACGCUACACAUGCGAGUGUUGCUGCAAAAUGUACUGAUUGAUGCGAAAGAUUUAAUAAAGCUGUGCAAUUUGUCUCAAA